CUCUGUCACAGUAAGACAUAUAUAACUGCUGUGAUACUGAAAUUACUUAAUUAUUUCAAUCUCCCAGUGAGGACGUGGAAAAUCACGUGUUUGAUUGUGAAUCAAUUCCACGGGGCAGCUGAGCGUGCAGGAGAAGCAUUUGUGCGUGUAGCUCUUUCUACGUGUGUGAGUGCUGGGGGUGAUGCCUGGACACCACAGCUUUCAGAGUGAACAAAAACAGAGAGAAAGUGGCAGGGGCUGGUUUUCUUAGCUACCUGCUCGGCAGUGAGUGCUGUAAUCAGUCCUCGCUGUUCUCAUGGAUAGCCGGCCCGGCCUACAAGCAGCGCCGAGAUACAGCCGACAGGCCUGUGGAAUCUGGUUUAUUGCACCGGCGUGGCCACGUCCUGCUGGGGCACGGGGAGCAGCAAGCCCACAGCCACAGACCUCCUACCUUGCCAGAAAGCCUCUGGAAGGCAGACUGACCAUGUCCAAGGCUUCUGAUGGAGGCCUGGCCAAAGAACCUUUUACUCUCCAUGUUCACAGUCUGCUUGCAUGGCUCUUCCAAAAGUAGUCCAUUUGCUCCUCCCUGGCUCUUCUCUCUCCUCCUGACCCCACCUCUGCAACGACUGCUGAGACACCCUCUGCCUAAGGAGAGGAAGGUGGACAAAUGCAUUUACAGACGGAGCUGACAGUAGGUAGCAGAUCACGCAAAUAACACUAGGGGUGGGGUCUGCAAGGGUUCCUGAGAUUUAAGGAGCCACAAAGCCCAUUUUAGAUCCCAAUCUCUGUGGAGUUUAUGUUGUAGGGGCACACUGGUAUAUCCAUGCUGUGCUGUGGCAUGCUGAGCAGCAGACUGGUGGCCCAGCUGGUCAUAAGCAAGUUCCAGCUAGGUGAUAUCUUCUUGUGCUUCCCCAGAGAUGGAUUUGCUGCACAGCCCUGGAGAACAGAGGUCAUCAUGAAACUUUUGGCUCGUUUGAGGAGUGAAAUAUAAUAUAAUAUUGCACCUGAAGAGAGCCCCCAAAAGUGAGAUGGUUGCACAAGGUAGAAACCCAGGGAAAUGUUAAACAUCACAGGUAAAUAAAAAUGGAGGUGGGGAGAGUUGCCAUUCAUUCUUCCUUCUCUUUCUGUGUCUCUCUGGUCUCUGAAUACUGGGGCUGUUGCAUCAGGAAUUGGUUUUAUUUUAUGAUCAGGUAUGUCAUACUUGGUUAUUAAAUACAAAUGGAACAAGUUUGAACUAUAUAGAAAAACUCUUCACUCUUUUAUAUUCCUGUAGAGAACAUGAAAUCUCAGGAAAUUAUAAUUACUGAAACAAACUGCUCUGCGGUGAUGGCUGUAAUAAUGAUUGUACUUUAAGACUAGGUAUUACAGCAGCUACCUCUAGAAUGCUUCUGUGCACUACCCUGCUGGCAGUAAUGCUGUGCUGUGGAAUCAGACUCAGAGAUAAAAUUAAUUCUAGCGAUGAGUGAUAAAUCAAUUCCUCACUGCUUUCUUUUGAUUCUGUGUAUGAUUUAAAAAAUGCUGCCUUUUUAGAGAAAGCUCUUUCUGUAUCCUUGUUAUCAUUUUCAUUCAAUACACUUGAUAAGCAAAGGACAAAUAUUCUGGAGAGUCCUCAUUUCAAACCCUUGAUUUCUGACCUUGCAAACAAAUAAUUUUCCUGGAAAAUCAUACUAAGACUUAGAAAAUUACACCCUUUGAGGAGGAUUUUCCUAGAUACACAGGAAGCAAUUAAAUCUCACUGCAUUUCUCAUAUUUUCUCUUUGAGGUCUGCCGAUUCCAAAAACGUGCAAGACCCAGCUAUGCCUUAGUGAAACCACCAGAUGUUCUUGCACAGGUCACUGGGUGUGAUGGGGAAAGGCGUUUUCCCAGAUUGCCUGCUGCAGGGAAGGAGGAUCGAGAGGAGACCCAGGGAAACACAGCUGCUUACAGUAACGCCUCUCCUGGGUUGCUAAGCCUAAUUUUAUUUUUUUGCA